rnacentral:rRNA from 1 species
GAGGAUCAUUACCUAGAGUUGCGGGCUUUGCCUGCCAUCUCUUACCCAUGUCUUUUGAGUACCUUCGUUUCCUCGGCGGGUUCGCCCGCCGGUUGGACAACACUUAAACCCUUUGUAAUUGAAAUCAGCGUCUGAAAAACUUUAAUAGUUACAACUUUCAACAACGGAUCUCUUGGUUCUGGCAUCGAUGAAGAACGCAGCGAAAUGCGAUAAGUAGUGUGAAUUGCAGAAUUCAGUGAAUCAUCGAAUCUUUGAACGCACAUUGCGCCCCUUGGUAUUCCAUGGGGCAUGCCUGUUCGAGCGUCAUUUGUACCUUCAAGCUCUGCUUGGUGUUGGGUGUUUGUCUCGCCUUUUGCGCGCAGACUCGCCUCAAAACGAUUGGCAGCCGGCGUAUUGAUUUCGGAGCGCAGUACAUCUCGCGCUUUGCACUCACAACGACGACGUCCAAAAAGUACAUUUUUACACUCUUGACCUCGGAUCAGGUAGGGAUACCCGCUGAACUUAAGCAUAUCAAUAAGCGGAGGAAAAGAAACCAACAGGGAUUGCCCUAGUAACGGCGAGUGAAGCGGCAACAGCUCAAAUUUGAAAUCUGGCGUCUUCGGCGUCCGAGUUGUAAUUUGCAGAGGGCGCUUUGGCAUUGGCAGCGGUCCAAGUUCCUUGGAACAGGACGUCACAGAGGGUGAGAAUCCCGUACGUGGUCGCUAGCCUUUACCGUGUAAAGCCCCUUCGACGAGUCGAGUUGUUUGGGAAUGCAGCUCUAAAUGGGAGGUAAAUUUCUUCUAAAGCUAAAUACUGGCCAGAGACCGAUAGCGCACAAGUAGAGUGAUCGAAAGAUGAAAAGCACUUUGGAAAGAGAGUUAAAAAGCACGUGAAAUUGUUGAAAGGGAAGCGCUUGCAGCCAGACUUGCCUGUAGUUGCUCAUCCGGGUUUCUACCCGGUGCACUCUUCUAUAGGCAGGCCAGCAUCAGUUUGGGCGGUUGGAUAAAGGUCUCUGUCAUGUACCUCCUCUCGGGGAGAACUUAUAGGGGAGACGACAUGCAACCAGCCCGGACU